rnacentral:rRNA from 1 species
GACGAACGCUGGCGGCGUGCUUAACACAUGCAAGUCGAGCGGUAAGGCCCUUUCGGGGGUACGACGAGCGGCGAACGGGUAGAGUAACACGUGGGUGACCUGCCCUCAGCUCUGGGAGUAAGCCCGGGAAACUGGGUCGUAAUACCGGAUAUGACUUCAUGACGCAUGUUGUGGAGUGGAAAGCCUUGUGCGGCUGAGGAUGGGCCCGCGGCCUAUCAGCUUGUUGGUGGGGUGAGGCCUACCAAGGCGACGACGGGUAGCCGGCCUGAGAGGGCGACCGGCCACACUGGGACUGAGAUACGGCCCAGACUCCUACGGGAGGCAGCAGUGGGGAAUCUUGCGCAAUGGGCGAAAGCCUGACGCAGCGACGCCGCGUGAGGGAUGACGGCCUGGUUGUAACGUAC